rnacentral:rRNA from 1 species
UCGAGAGUUUGAUCCUGGCUCAGGAUGAACGCUAGCGGCAGGCUUAACACAUGCAAGUCGAGGGGUAUAGUUCUUCGGAACUAGAGACCGGCGCACGGGUGCGUAACGCGUAUGCAAUCUACCUUUUGCAGAGGGAUAGCCCAGAGAAAUUUGGAUUAAUACCUCAUAGUAUGUGAGAAUCGCAUGGUUUUUCACAUUAAAGUCACAACGGUAAAAGAUGAGCAUGCGUCCCAUUAGCUAGAUGGUAAGGUAACGGCUUACCAUGGCAACGAUGGGGUAGGGGUCCUGAGAGGGAGACUCCCCCACACUGGUACUGAGACACGGACCAGACUCCGUAC